CCGGGGAAUGGUUAGGGGUGUGCAACCGCUGCCGCUCUCAGAGACAACCUGCUCUUCAUGUGUCUCUCUCCUUUACCUGCUAUCACAGAUUAAAGAGAAGUUGGCGAUAUGUGACAACAGAUGCAGCGGUAACCAGUGAAGAUGGUGAUGCUAACUUGCUCGGUUGCGCCCUGGAGGCCAUCUUCAUCCACGGCAUCAAGAACAAAUACAUCCGCUCAGUGGCAGCGGGUCGGGUCAGGAAGGGAGAUCGGGGACCCCUCCCUCAGCCUUUCUUCUGGAGCCUGUCCUGAACCCACCGGGAUGUUAUCAAGGAGCUAGAGAAUUUCAGCUUUUUGGGAACAGACGUGGGUACUGAAAACAACUAGUACUGAGAUGAGCUAGAGGCGCGCGGCAACGGGGCACACGGAGACUCACAAGCUGUCGAGUUUGUUUUUAUAAAUACAUUUUUUUAAUAAAAUUCAUGAAACAAUACAGUUUACCAAAUAAAAGCUUAAAUAAAAACAUAAAACAUUUUUUUUUUU